rnacentral:rRNA from 1 species
UGGGGAAUAUUGCACAAUGGGCGCAAGCCUGAUGCAGCCAUGCCGCGUGUGUGAAGAAGGCCUUCGGGUUGUAAAGCACUUUCAGCGAGGAGGAAGGUGGUGAGCUUAAUACGCUCAUCAAUUGACGUUACUCGCAGAAGAAGCACCGGCUAACUCCGUGCCAGCAGCCGCGGUAAUACGGAGGGUGCAAGCGUUAAUCGGAAUUACUGGGCGUAAAGCGCACGCAGGCGGUUUGUUAAGUCAGAUGUGAAAUCCCCGGGCUCAACCUGGGAACUGCAUUUGAAACUGGCAAGCUAGAGUCUCGUAGAGGGGGGUAGAAUUCCAGGUGUAGCGGUGAAAUGCGUAGAGAUCUGGAGGAAUACCGGUGGCGAAGGCGGCCCCCUGGACGAAGACUGACGCUCAGGUGCGAAAGCGUGGGGAGCAAAACAGGAUUAGAUACCCUGGUAGUCCACGCUGUAAAACGAUGUCGAUUUGGAGGUUGUGCCCUUGAGGCGUGGCUUCCGGAGCUAACGCGUUAAAUCGACCGCCUGGGGAGUACGGCCGCAAGGUUAAAACUUAAAGGAAUUGACGGGGUC